rnacentral:lncRNA from 1 species
AUUAAUAAAAAUUAAAAGAAACAGCCAAUCAAAUCUUUCUUUCACAAGUAUAUUUAAGAAAAUAGGAAAUUAAAGAUAAUCGGUUAUUUAUUUAUUUACAAGCUUAACACUGAGAAAGAAAUCAACCUUAAACUCUAAUAUAUUGGUCCCUCCACACAUAAAAUCCUGGCUCCACCACUGCACGCAGCCACCACAACCUCCACAACCACCAUCCCCACCACCACCACUAUCACAACCACAACCACUAACUCCACAUUCAUCACCACCACCACUUUCACCUCCAUCUCUUUGACCAUGACCUCCACUCCACCAGCACGACCACUACCACCACACGAUUAGCACAUAACACUUUCAACAUCAUCAUCAUGUCUAUUUUAAUCAUUA